rnacentral:pre_miRNA from 1 species
AGUAGAACUGCUAGGUCAUGUGGGAAAUGCAUAUUUUAACUGUUUAACUGCCAAAAUGUUUGCCAAAAUGCUUGUACCAUUUUGCAUUCUCACAGGCAAC